UACGAAGGGGGCUAGCGUUGCUCGGAAUUACUGGGCGUAAAGCGCACGUAGGCGGGUUGUUAAGUCAGGGGUGAAAUCCUGGAGCUCAACUCCAGAACUGCCUUUGAUACUGGCAACCUAGAGACUGGAAGAGGUUAGUGGAAUUCCAGUGUAGAGGUGAAAUUCGUAGAUAUUGGGAAGAACACCAGUGGCGAAGGCGGCUAACUGGUCCAGCACUGACGCUGAGGUGCGAAAGCGUGGGGAGCAAACAGG
rnacentral:rRNA from 1 species